CAAUAGCGUAUAUUUAAGUUGCUGCAGUUAAAAAGCUCGUAGUUGGAUUUCGGGUGGGAAUGGCCGGUCCGCCGUUUCGGUGUGCACUUGCUACGCCCACCUUGCUGCCGGGGACGUGCUCUUGAGUUCACGCUCGGGACACGGAGUCGGCGAGGUUACUUUGAGUAAAUUAGAGUGUUCAAAGCAGGCCUACGCUCUGAAUACAUUAGCAUGGAAUAACACGAUAGGACUCUGGCCUAUCUUGUUGGUCUGUAGGACCGGAGUAAUGAUUAAGAGGGACAGUCGGGGGCAUUCUUAUUUCAUUGUCAGAGGUGAAAUUCUUGGAUUUAUGAAAGACGAACUACUGCGAAAGCAUUUGCCAAGGAUGUUUUCAUUAA
rnacentral:rRNA from 1 species